ACGGGAGGCAGCAGUGGGGAAUAUUGCACAAUGGGGGAAACCCUGAUGCAGCGACGCCGCGUGAAGGAAGAAGUAUCUCGGUAUGUAAACUUCUAUCAUUCAGGGAAAAUAGUGACGGUACCUGACUAAGAAGCCCCGGCUAUACACGUGCCAGCAGCCGCGGU
rnacentral:rRNA from 1 species